rnacentral:rRNA from 1 species
AUUGAACGCUGGCGGCAUGCCUAACACAUGCAAGUCGAACGGAGGUAGGGGCAACUCUACUUCAGUGGCGGACGGGUGAGGAAUGCGUCGGAAUCUACCCUAUGGUGGGGGAUAACACAGGGAAACUUGUGCUAAUACCGCAUAAUGUCGAGAGACCAAAGCAGGGGACCGGCAAGGCCUUGCGCGAUAGGAUGAGCCGACGCCCGAUUAGCUAGUUGGUAGGGUAAAGGCCUACCAAGGCGACGAUCGGUAGCUGGUCUGAGAGGAUGAUCAGCCACACUGGGACUGAGACACGGCCCACGACUCCUACGGGAGGCAGCAGUGGGGAAGUAUUGGACAAUGGGCGCAAGCCUGAUCCAGCAAUGCCGCGUGUGUGAAGAAGGCCUGCGGGUUGUAAAGCACUUUUGUUCGGGAAGAAAUCAUGCUGGUUAAUACCUGGUAUGGAUGACGGUACCGAAAGAAUAAGCACCGGCUAACUUCGUGCC